UACGGAAGGGGCUAGCGUUGCUCGGAAUUAGCUGGGCGUAAAGAGCGUGUAGGCGGCUCGAUAAGUCUAGCUGUGAAAGUCCAGGGCUCAACCCUGGAAGGCCGGUGGAAACUGUCGGGCUAGAGUCCGGGAAGAGGCGAGUGGAAUUCCCGGUGUAGCGGUGAAAUGCGCAGAUAUCGGGAGGAACGACCGGUGGCGAAGGCGGUUCAGCUGGGCCU
rnacentral:rRNA from 1 species